rnacentral:rRNA from 1 species
GGUACGGGGAGCGAAUCUGCGCGGUAGUGGGGGAUAACCUGGGGAAACCCAGGCUAAUACCGCAUACGUCCUACGGGAGAAAGCAGGGGAUCUUCGGACCUUGCGCUAUCGGAUGAGCCUAUGUCAGAUUAGCUUGUUGGUGAGGUAAUGGCUCACCAAGGCGACGAUCCGUAACUGGUCUGAGAGGAUGAUCAGCCACAUCGGGACUGAGACACGGCCCGAACUCCUACGGGAGGCAGCAGUGGGGAAUAUUGGACAAUGGGCGAAAGCCUGAUCCAGCCAUGCCGCGUGUGUGAAGAAGGCUUUCGGGUUGUAAAGCACUUUCAGUGAGGAAGAAGGCCUUGGGGCUAAUACCCCCGAGGAAGGACAUCACUCACAACGGG